UCCUUGGUGGUCCAGGGGUUAAGACAUUACACUUUCACUGCAGGGGCAUGGGUUCGAUCCCUGGUCAGGGAA
rnacentral:tRNA from 1 species